rnacentral:lncRNA from 1 species
CUAACAAGCUUAAACCUAACAUGCUGAACACCUUCUUAACAUCUUCACUCCUCCUUCUUCUCCUUCAUCAACCUGAUGCGCUCAGAGUGGCGAAUCCCAACGCGGAUGUACUCCUCUACCACAAUUGGCAUGGUCCUGUCGCCAAGCUGUGGGAUUGCAGGCGCCGCCACCAUCGCGAGGUCGUCGUCCGCCACCACCAUCGCGAGGUCGUCGUCCACCAUCACCAUAGCAAGGUCGUCGUCCGCCACCACCAUAGCAAGGUCGUCAUCCGCCACCACCAUAGCAGGGUCGUCGUCA